rnacentral:rRNA from 1 species
UAGUCCACGCUGUAAACGAUGAGUGCAAGGUGUUGGGGGUCAAACCUCGGUGCCGCCGUUAACACAGUAAGCACUCCGCCUGGGGAGUACGUACGCAAGUAUGAAACUCAAAGGAAUUGACGGGGACCCGCACAAGUAGCGGAGCAUGUGGUUUAAUUCGAUGCAACGCGAAAAACCUUACCAGGGCUUGACAUAAAAGUGACGAGGGAUAGAGAUAUUCCUCUUCUCUUCGGAGACAGUUUUAC